UGGGGAAUAUUGCGCAAUGGAGGAAACUCUGACGCAGCAACGCCGCGUGAGUGAUGAAGGUCUUAGGAUUGUAAAGCUCUGUCUUUUGGGACGAUAAUGACGGUACCAAAGGAGGAAGCCACGGCUAACUACGUGCCAGCAGCCGCGGUAAUACGUAGGUGGCAAGCGUUGUCCGGAUUUACUGGGCGUAAAGGGUGCGUAGGCGGAUAUUUAAGUGAGAUGUGAAAUCCCCGGGCUUAACUUGGGGGCUGCAUUUCAAACUGGAUAUCUAGAGUACAGGAGAGGAAAGUGGAAUUCCUAGUGUAGCGGUGAAAUGCGUAGAGAUUAGGAAGAACACCAGUGGCGAAGGCGACUUUCUGGACUGUAACUGACGCUGAGGCACGAAAGCGUGGGGAGCGAACAGGAUUAGAUACCCCCGUAGUCC
rnacentral:rRNA from 1 species